rnacentral:rRNA from 1 species
GACGAACGCUGGCGGCGUGCCUAAUACAUGCAAGUAGAACGCUGAAGGAGGAGCUUGCUUCUCCGGAUGAGUUGCGAACGGGUGAGUAACGCGUAGGUAACCUGCCUGGUAGCGGGGGAUAACUAUUGGAAACGAUAGCUAAUACCGCAUAACAGUAGAUGUUGCAUGACAUUUGCUUAAAAGGUGCAAUUGCAUCACUACCAGAUGGACCUGCGUUGUAUUAGCUAGUUGGUGAGGUAACGGCUCACCAAGGCGACGAUACAUAGCCGACCUGAGAGGGUGAUCGGCCACACUGGGACUGAGACACGGCCCAGACUCCUACGGGAGGCAGCAGUAGGGAAUCUUCGGCAAUGGACGGAAGUCUGACCGAGCAACGCCGCGUGAGUGAAGAAGGUUUUCGGAUCGUAAAGCUCUGUUGUAAGAGAAGAACGAGUGUGAGAGUGGAAAGUUCACACUAUGACGGUAUCUUACCAGAAAGGGACGGCUAACUACGUG